GCAUGCACACGCUAUUUUGUCCUGAUUCUGUCAACUGAUAUCUUAAUGUUUAGCGAGUAGCUAGCUAAAACCACAGACAAACAAUUAGCAUUGUAAUAGUUUUUUUGCUAGGAUAUCAAGCUGACACUAUCGUAAGGAGAGCUGCUAAGCAACUAAAGGUAUCUAGCUAGCAUACCUGGCUAAUUACCUAGAUAGGUUAGCUGUCUAGCCACAAAUGGCACAAUGAGCUAGAUAUUUCACCGGAUGUAUAAAUGUGAAUCAUCUGGUUGUCGUUUCCACUCACUACCAAAUAUGGUGAUGAGAGGAAGCUAGGUUGCCAGCAGUGAGAGAAGAUGGAGGGAGAUUUUGACGGACAUUCUGCAAAUUUUCUCAUCGAUGAAACAUUUUAUCUCCAUACAGUUUUCUGUUUCCAAAACUAGAACCAGUAACAAACAGAGUGGACUGCGGUUUGUAGACUUCACCAUUUGGCAAGUUUACAAAAAAUCCGAUGUUUAGGAGUUCAAGGGCCAAUUUAGUUAUUGAACACGCACCUCACAGCCAAUAGGCGUUCUCUUUUGCGUCUUCUUCUUUGGUAUAAUGGCGUUCGCAACAAUUAUAUGGGCAUUCCGCCACCUAUUGUACAGGUGGAUAACAAGGAUCCCCCACCAAAAAAUGCACGGUAAAAAAAAUCCAUACAAACUAUCAGUAAUGAAAUGUUAAUUAAACUAAAUCAGCCUGCCUUUCUGUUUUAAUCAGGUCCCUACACAGGCUCAGAAGGAUCCUGUGAUGGAUGGCGGGUAGGCGUUCUCUAGAACACGCCAAUAGGAUCUCACUAUUUUGGCCCUGCCCACCUCAAUGCUUGUUCUGCCCACUAUGAUUAGUUUGCCCUGUAGCCUCAAUUUGCAUGGUGUUGUUAGCUAGCUACAUUGUGACACAAGUCACUCUACUGCACUAUAUGCGGUUAACCAACCAAUGAUAUCUAUAGUUUCAAUCCCAGGGAGUCAUUUCAAGUGUGUGUGUGUGUUCCUUUAGGAUGGAGGACAGGGAGGAAAGCCAGGAGUUAUCAUGUUCCUCAGCAACACCAGAGAGAAUCUCCACCCCUCCAGAACCAUCCAUGUCCUCCAAACACAGGAAGUCACCUAAGGGACGGCAGGAGGGAAAGAGGUCUCAACGCCAUCACACACUUGCUGCUGCCCGACUGAUAGCAAGGCAGGUUUCCCGGCCAACAGGAACACUCCGAGCCAUCUGGGUCUUCGACGGCGGAGAUCUCCCCUAAUAAUUAUGGGUCUGAGAGAUGCAGAGAGCUGACUUUCUCCAUGGUGUCACGGCCGUCGUAAGGAUUGGACCAAAAUGCAGCGGGUUAAGAUGACAUCUAUAACUGUAUUGACCGGAUCAUCUGUUUGGGAGGAGAUGGGACUCUACUCUGCGCCUUCUCUCUCUUUAAGGUACCCACUAACACAGAUACAGUAUAAUAGGGUAGCCAACAGACCUCCGAGGGAGCUACUGUCUAUGCAGUUCUUUGAUCCAGCCCUGCGCCAACACACCUGCUUAAUCUGUCCAGGGUCUUGUACUUGAGUGGCUCAGGGCAGGCUGGGUGUGUGUGUGUUUGGUGAUGUAAAUAUCUGAGGCAGUGUGUUUGGGUUAGUCAUUGUUGUACUUGGAACAUAACGUGGUGUUGAGCUGAGUUGUCCUUGGCCAGACUUGGCUUUGUCCAAAAUGGAAGCACCCUAUUCCCUACAUAGUUCACUACUUUUGACCAGAGCCAUUUGGGACAUAGACUUGGAAUGAGACGUAAUGUUCUUGAAAUGA